rnacentral:rRNA from 1 species
AGCAGUAGCCACGGUAAUACGAAGGGGGCUAGCGUUGCUUGGAAUUACUGGGCGUAAAGGGAGCGUAGGCGGAUGUUUAAGUCAGAGGUGAAAGCCCAGGGCUCAACCUUGGAACUGCCUUUGAUACUGGACAUCUUGAGUGUGGGAGAGGUAAGCGGAACUCCGAGUGUAGAGGUGAAAUUCGUAGAUAUUCGGAAGAACACCAGUGGCGAAGGCGGCUUACUGGCCCAUUACUGACGCUGAGGCUCGAAAGCGUGGGGAGCAAACAGGAUUAGAUACCCCAGUAGUCCCUGUCUCUUAUAA